rnacentral:misc_RNA from 1 species
UGACAAUUGGUGAGUUAACUAUGAUAAUUUCACGUAGUUAAUUACUCAAUUUAAUUUGCAAGAGUUUAUUUAUGACAAUUACUCAAUGUCUCUCGCAUUGAACAAUAUACAGCUUCUAAACUGUAGGAUGGGAAUAACUGUGAUCAAGGUCGUUGUCAUCUAUCAACUUCUCUUCACCUCAUUCCUUUGUGAAUUAAAUCAACAACAUAUUUGUGCUGCUAAAUGCAGAGGUGGAAAAAGCAUUGCUUCUGAAAGCAAAAUGAUAUUCA